GAUGAACGCUAGCUACAGGCUUAACACAUGCAAGUCGAGGGGCAGCAUGGUCUUAGCUUGCUAAGGCCGAUGGCGACCGGCGCACGGGUGAGUAACACGUAUCCAACCUGCCGUCUACUCUUGGACAGCCUUCUGAAAGGAAGAUUAAUACAAGAUGGCAUCAUGAGUCCGCAUGUUCACAUGAUUAAAGGUAUUCCGGUAGACGAUGGGGAUGCGUUCCAUUAGAUAGUAGGCGGGGUAACGGCCCACCUAGUCUUCGAUGGAUAGGGGUUCUGAGAGGAAGGUCCCCCACAUUGGAACUGAGACACGGUCCAAACUCCUACGGGAGGCAGCAGUGAGGAAUAUUGGUCAAUGGACGAGAGUCUGAACCAGCCAAGUAGCGUGCAGGAUGACGGCCCUAUGGGUUGUAAACUGCUUUUAUAAGGGAAUAAAGUGAGUCUCGUGAGACUUUUUGCAUGUACCUUAUGAAUAAGGACCGGCUAAUU
rnacentral:rRNA from 1 species